AACAGGGGCUAUAUCCUGUCUCGGAAACAUGGAAAAGAUUUAAUCAUGGUUCGGGUUCUUGGCCCCAAAUGGCUCCCAAACCCCACGUCUCUGAUUUCUAUAAAUUCAGGAAAUUCUGUACUACAAAGAUUAAUUCAUCCACAAUAUUGCUAUUGCUGCAUCAUUCAUUUCUAGGUUGUAUGUGCUGAUCCCAUGUGUACUAUUUUGCUCAAGUGCAUUUCUUAUCUGAACUUAGUUCUUUCAGUGUACUAGGCUUGCAGAGACAAAUGCAAUCAUUUUCUACAAUGGAGUGUAAUAAGGCGGGGCUAUUAAGUAUAAAGGUUUUUAUUACACUCCAAUUCUACCUUUACACCUAAUAGCCUCGUCUUUAUUACAUUCCACCGUAGAAUGAUCGCAUUGUCUCUGCGAACCUAGUACACCUGAAUAACUAAGUUAAAAUAAGAAACAUAGUUAAGCAACAUAAUACAUAUUGAUUAUCACAUACGAUCUAGAAAUUAAUGAUGCAACAAUAGCAGUAAUGUGCAUGGAUUAAUCUUUCCAGUAAGGAAUUUCCUCAAUUUAUAGGAAUCAGAGGUGUAGGGUGUUUGUGAGCCAUUUGGGGUAAAAAAAACCGAACCAUGGUUAAAUCUUUACCCUGUUUAAUUGCUCGAUUGUUAGAAUUUGAACUUUGGAUUGUGAUUUUGCUUUGAAUUUAACCCGAGUUUUUGCAUUAAAUGGAAU
rnacentral:lncRNA from 1 species